rnacentral:tRNA from 1 species
GAGCCUGUAGCUCAGCUGGUAGAGCGCUUGACUUUUAAUCAAUAGGUCCCGGGUUCGAAUCCCGGCAGGCUCACCA